rnacentral:lncRNA from 1 species
AUAGACACCUCUUUGGGAGGCUGGGUACAGUGGGUUACGCCUGUAAUCCCAGCACUUUGGGAGGCCGAGGCAGGCAGAUCACCUAAGGUAGGGAGUUCAAGACCAGCCUGACCAACAUGGAGAAACCCCAUCUCUACUAAAAAUACAAAAUUAGCUGGGCGUGGUGGCACAUGCCUGUAAUCCCAGCUACUCAGGAGGCUGAGGCGGGAGAAUUGCUUGAACCCAGGAGGCAGAGAUUGCACUCAGGUUUCAGCUCCUCGGAAUAAAGCAGUUCUUGUGAAGUAAGAAGGGGCCCUAGGAACAGGAAUCCCACCUUGAAGAUUGCUUCUCUAACCUGAACAUUGUCAGCUCAACUUCAGAGCAAAGUCAGGAAACUGCCAGAAAGGGCAGAGCCUGACAGUUUGCACAGCCUGAAGUAAUUCUUCCUCCUGCUCAGAAUGAGUGAUGCUCUGUAAAUGUUAUCACAUCCAGAAGGUCUCCCCACUAUGAUGAAAGGUUUGGACCACGUCUCAGAAAAGAUAGGUGACUGGACUGAGUGGUGGCAAGGGGGCCGAAGAAACUUUUUCCCGUAGAAGAGUGUGUAACCAGUUGGUGGGCAGCAGUUUUUAGGAAGCUGAAUCUCAAAGGUCCAUAGCAGGCCAGAUCUCGCAUGACCACCCCUGUGUUCUUCUCCCGUAACUGUACAUUCAGCUUCCCCUGCACUUUCCCAA